CGGGAUCCGCAUUCUCCUAAGAGGAGUGAGAGGUGCCAGAGCUCUUGCCCCCCCACACACAGAGAAGAGCCUCUGUGAGGAAGAGCAAGAAGGUGGCCAUCUACAAGACAGGAAGAGAGGCCUCCCCAGAAACCAACCCUGAUCUUGGGUUUCUAAUCUCCGGAACCGAGAAGAUAAAUCUCUACUGUUUAACCACCCAGCCUGCAGUAUUCCAUAAUGCGGCCUGAGCCCACCGAGGCACCUCUUCUGCGUAGCUAGACGCACAGACAAACCAGGACGGAGAAAACGAGAAGUACUAUGGUACCGGCGCUCGGCUUCCCCUGGUCAGCUGGGGCCCCACCAGCUCUGAGACAUCUAGGGCUGCUUCUGACGCACGGCUGAGGUCACCCCGGCCCAUACGAGGCCCAGUCUGCGCAGGAACACACCUGCAGCCACUGUCACUGGUCCAAGACCUCAUCUUGCUGACCACAAGCUGGGCCUUACCUCCCUCCUCUUGCCAGUGUCCAGGCGGCUGGCCCACGACCCCCUGGGGUUGUCUGAUGGACCGGCCAGCACGCGUCUCAGCCACAUGCAGAGCAGAGCUGCUGACCACAAAGGCUGUUCACAGAAGCGGGGUGGCCGUGGGGUGGCCUUUACUUGGGGCACAGCAUGGCUCCUGGGUCAGUCCCGUGAAUGAGAUGGGUAAUCUGGUGGCAUGGGGCUGGUUUUUCCAGCAAACUUUACCUGGGUGCCCACUCUGCCCUGAGAGCAGUAAGAGAGAAACUACAUCCUCCCUUCCAUUAAACUGUUAGCAGAAAGAACUUUUAGGAAACCAAGGAUAAAGUCCAAAAUGAAAUAUACACAGAAAGGUUUUCUUGGAUUCCCUCCACUGGCUGAGGAACGAGGGGAAGCCACACACUCGAUGGCCCAGGAGAGCCCUGGACAGGGGCCCAGAGAGAGGGUGGGUGGGGAGCGGGUGCUGACAGCGGGGUGGGGUAAUGUUGAAGGUCGAUGCUGGCUGGCUGGCUACUCAGAGGGGGCCACAGGACCCGCUUCCCAGCCCUCCAAGAAGCACCAGUGGAGAGGACAGCAGUGAGUGGUUGUGCAGGAAUUCAUGCACCAAGCUGGCAUGUGGAGCCGACAGGAUGUGGGGAACAGAUGGCCCAGACAGAGAUGACCCCUGGCUGCUGAUGGUGACAGAUAGAGCAGUCCCACCAAGAGACACUCAGCUGAAACAGUCAUGGAUCUGCAGGGGAGUCAGCCAAGCGGCCGCAGAUAAUCCUGGGGACAGAGGGCUUUGUGUCACAGAGAGGUUAGCUUUCCAAGGGCAGGGUAUGAACCUGUCUGGGAGAAGAAUGACUACAGCUGCAUGGUCACCCAGAACACUCUGGAGAACAGGUGUGUGGAGAGUCCAGUGUCAUUUGAUCCUCUCUCAGAUCGAAGGGAGAAAUGAGGCAGACGACUUGCAGUGACAACAGUGUCACCAUGUGAAAACAUGAGCGUGGGUGACCUUCAUGUGCUGUUCUUUCCUCAGGCCCUUGCUGCUGUCAAGCACCCCUCCCAAGGCCACUGCCACCUCGCUCUGCUGCACUGCAAGGGGCCACCUCGCAGGUCCUAAGAGCCUCAGGGAGGUAGACACAGUCCACACUGCAGUCCCCGGGGCUAACUAGCCUUGCUGGCCUGCACAAGGGGACUCUGGUUGGGAAAAGGGGAGGCAAUAUGGGGUCACAAGGGAGCAGGAUGGUACUACUCUGAGAGGAGAGGGGGCAAGGGGUGCUCUGAGAUGCUCUUGAGGCCCCCGGGGGCCUGCCUGCUGGAAGCUCAGUGCCUUCUCUGCAGGUGGGAGCUGAGUCUGGGGGGCAUCUCCUACCCUGUCCUGAGACAAUCACUCUUUAUUUACCACCAGCCUCCUCCCCUCCUUAACAAUCUCCCCCUUUAAAUGAAUGUACUGCUCACCCAACGCGAGGACUUGGUCACGCUCCACCUCAACAAGCUCAGGGAUUCACAGAAACCAUUAACCGUCAUGAUCUGGGCAGCCCUCUCGUGGGCUGACGAGGGGAUCCAUCAUGCCGGCUAACGCAUAGGAGCCCUCCACCUCUCCCCACCCUGCUCCUGCCCUCCCCGUGAGGACUUCUGAUGUGGCAGGUCAAGGACAGCUGUCCUGAGUGGGGGAGGGGCAAGGCUCUCAGGACUUUGGGGACUGGCUGUUGGGAGCAGAGGAAUAGUGACAAGAGGGGGGCCAGGAGGAGACGAGGGAGCGUAUUUUUCUCUGAGUGCUGUUUUACUGAGAAAACUUUUCCUUCUGAAGGUCACAAGGGCUUUCACCUACUUCUUAUAAGCAGACUUAUAAGGAGAAGGAUGGACAGCAGGGAUUGUGAUCCCUGCUGAUCCCAACCUGGGGAUGUAAGUCAUCCUGGCACCCAAAGGGGCUCCACUGCAGCACCUUUUCUGUUGAUGCCAGUGUGAUCUUUGUGUUCUAAGUAAUGAGUUUUCAUUUUUUCCCAGGUGGUCGUAUUACUUUAACCUGGGGCUUUGAUACAUGUGAAUAAAAUUUGCAAAGAGCACCGUGUAGGUGCAUAUAGGACUGGACCAGCUGAGUGGGGUAGACCAGGAAUCCUGCUCCAUCCGGGCAUUGGACAAGUGACCUCCUGCUCCCUCGACUUGGCUGGGAAGGACCAAGGUGGAAAGAAGUCACAGGCUGCCAAGUCGGGCUCAAGACAAGACAGGACUUCCAGUGACGACAACAUCCCUUCAGAGCGGAGCAGGGGCCACCCUGUGCGCGUGCCCGUGGAGCCUGCCCUUGUGGGGUGAGGACUACACUGGAUGGCCGCCAUGGUCCCUCCCAACUGAAGAUGCCAGGAACCCCGUGAUGCAGCGGCUCCUUAUACUGGGCUUCUGUAAUCCUGAGCAGGAUGUGCCAGAAAAGCCGGAAAUCAUUUUUAUCAGAAGCUGUGCUCGUCAUGAUCUAGUGCUGAGUGCUGGCGUGGAGGAGCAAGGUGCGCGCUGAAUCCUGAUGAGGGGCGAUGAUGGGGCAGAUGCAAAGGCAAAAGGAGAUAGAGAAGAGGGCCAGGAGGGAGGCGUCCCAACCCCGGGCUCCUCAGGAACCUCUGUGCUGGGGCCGGCGAGGGGCUGGAAACUGGGCAGACUCCCUCUGCCAGCCUCUCAACCAGAACAGCAACGGUAUUCUUUGCUUUUAGACCCAAACACGGAAUACAAAUGAUCCCAGAGCAUGUGCUGGCCAAUAGGGACCCCGCACCCUCCUGCCCUGGGCCUAGGGGUCUCAGCAGCCGGAACCUUCUGGGACAGUGCGACGGAAUGAAUGGGCUCCCUACCACAAACCUGCUUUAGGCGGAGAGACCCCCCCAAACACCCCUGAGGAUGACGGUGCUCUGGCUCAGUAGGGCAUCAGGCAGUCAGAAGGCAUUGUGGAGAGGGUGUCUCUUCAUGCCCCACGGGCCAGGAACGCGGAGGCGGUUGCCACAGCCCGCUGGGUUUUAUGGCUGUGCCACACAGGGCACCCACAAGAAGGCAGAGCAGAGCCCGACCUGGGCCUUCAGGGGUCAGCUGGCCCAGCGGGGGCGGGGGGGGGGAGUAGGGGCAUGUGAAGACAGUUGGGCCUAGCUCUGGCUCCAUGCACACUACGUGAUCUUUACUGCAGUAAAAAAGCAGACAGAGCCCCUGCCCCUCUUGGCUUUCGGGAAUCCACGGAACCCCCGCCACAUUCUAGCUAUGCCGAGUGCACACAGCCGUCUUGGAAAAGGUGAGGAAGGGACCAGGGGACAAAGGGCAGACUCGAGACGUCUCUCACUCACCAACCCAUCUCAUCAGGGAGGUCAGGAUCUGCAGGUACUUGGUCUUCUGGACGUCAAAGAAGGUGAAGGGUCCAAGGAGAAGAGUGAAGACAGCCUGGGUGACAGAAACAAGGGUGAGGGGGUGCCGGGGCUGGGCGUACACAGCACACACCGCGUGUGUGGGGAGAACACGCCAUCCAUGCAGCCUCUGCCCGCAGCGGCUGGUCCUAACUGUGCUGUGCACCUUGACUGGCAGAGGCUCCCCAGGGGCAAACAUCAUGUGGGGAGCUCCUUGGGGUGCAGGAGAAAUCCAAAGCCGUGCUUCGUAGCUGCUCCUCAUGCCCCUGGUCCUGAGACAACUUUCUGGGCCAGCCCCAGUCAACACUCCAGGGACAUCGCCUGCUACUUCUCUUCACCAAAUGCUAAGGGUUCCCAGGCCCGGCACAGAGCUGGUCACGAGCCCCAAUUAGGAGGUAAUCAGCAGGAAGAUGAGGAUCUAAGAGGAACCCAGGCGCGCCCAGUGCCCCGACAACACAGGGCAGUGGAGAGAUCACUGCUGUGCUCCAGCGUUCAGAGAGGAUCAGUCGGGAUGUCGUUAAUCAGCAAUGUUUAGGACUUGAGGAGGGUAGGCCUGGAGAGCCAGCGGCUCUAGGCUUCCAGGGCAAACCUCGCAGAGGACUAUCCUGAACCAAGAAGAGAAGGGGCUGCAGCCAGGAAAAGUGGGAGCUGAGUUUGGGGCUCAGUGCUCUUUCCUUUGGAGAACAGGAAAAACUAAGUGUUUACUUAGG